rnacentral:lncRNA from 1 species
AUGGCCCCAGGGAGCCCCUCUCUCUGCUCGGGGCCUUUGGCGGCGGCACGGCACCACGGCACCGCCGAGCCGUCACCUCCCGCUCGUGCCAUCCGCACAUCGCCGCCGCCUCCAGGUGCGCUCUGGGGCAGCGCGGCGGGGCCCUUCUCCUCCUUUGUCCCAGCGCAGCCCCCGGCUCAGCCCGCACAAAACCCGCCCGUCGCCCUCACCCCACGAGCACUCCGAUCCCCGGCCCGGCGCGCUCCGACGGCUCCGCGCUCCCACGCGGGGCGAGAGAAGCGUCCGAGAACGGCAGCCCCGGCACCCGAGGGGAGCCCGGCGGCACCGCGCUGCUCUGCCCGCCCGGUCGGUGCCGGCACCCGCGGCCCCAGGAGCCCACCCGCCCUCGAGGCCCCAAAAAGAGCUGAGAAGGCGCGCGCCCCGCACUUACCGCCGCCGCCGCCUCCCGCGGCCCCCAGCAGCCCAGCAGCAGCACCAGCACACACCCCACGGCCGGGCCGCGGCUCGGCCACCGCCGCUCCAUCCUCCCACCCGCUCAGGAGCUCCCGGAGCGGCCCUGCGACGCGGGCAUACCCGGCGGGGCAGCGCGGCUCCCGCAGGCGUCUCCCGCCGGCCGCCCCGACGCCAGCGCCCGCCCCUCUGCCGCGCUCGCCCGCUUCUCCCGGCUCAAGUCCUCCCGGGACUACUUUGCCCCGCAAUAUUCAUCCGCACCCCGCGGCGGGCGCGUGGCGUGCGUGUGCGGGCAGAGCCGGGUGCCGGCUCUCUCUGCGGGGCAGCACCUCCCCGUCACGGCCCUUCCCCCGGGCUCCGGGCUUUGGGCGGCUGCGAAGGGCUCUGACCCGCCUCUCCCCGCCUCGCAGCCCCACGGAGCGGGCACGGCCGCAGGACCCCGCACUAUUUUCUGCGGCGGAGGCGGCGCGGGGUGCAGGGGGUGGCGCUGCCGUCGCGGUGGCGGGGCGCACCUCGGAGGGGCGGUGCGCUCGUCCCGUGCCGCUACCCUGCCCUGCCCGGCCCGGCCCUGCCUUCCCCUCCCCUCAGGUGCUUCGCCUCCGUUCAGACUCUCAAACUUUCUCCGUGUGUGCUGGAGCUGCUCCCGGUGGCGGUCCUGCCCUUCCACCGAGCCGCCCGAGACAUGGGCCCGGCCCCGGGGCGCACAGGGGCGCUGCUGCUGCUGCCGGUGCUGCUGCUGAGCCUGCACGCCGAGCCGGUGAGCGCGGUAAGUGCUGCCCCGCGCCCCCGCUUGGCCCCGCUCUCAUAGCGCGGAGUUACGACGGGACUCGGGCUCCCUUCGCCCCCCGCCCGCUUGGACCCCUCGCGGUGUGGGGGGAUCCCGGCACGACGCCGAACUCGCGUUUAGAUCCCGCGUAA